CCUACGGGGUGCAGCAGUGGGGAAUAUUGCACAAUGGGGGAAACCCUGAUGCAGCGACGCCGCGUGAGUGAAGAAGGAUUUCGGUAUGUAAAGCUCUAUCAGCAGGGAAGAAGAAAGACGGUACCUGACUAAGAAGCCCCGGCUAACGACGUGCCAGCAGCCGCGGUAAUACGUAGGGGGCAAGCGUUAUCCGGAUUUACUGGGUGGAAAGGGAGCGUAGACGGCUGUGCAAGUCUGAAGUGAAAGCCCAGGGCUCAACCCUGGGACUGCGUUCGAAACUGUGGAGCUUGAGUGCUGGAGAGGUAAGUGGAAUUCCUAGUGUAGCGGUGAAAUGCGUAGAUAUUAGGAGGAACACCAGUGGCGAAGGCGGCUUACUGGACAGUAACUGACGUUGAGGCUCGAAAGCGUGGGGAGCAAACAGGAUUAGAUACCCCAUUAGUC
rnacentral:rRNA from 1 species